UAAACCGAAAGAUGAUGACUC
rnacentral:siRNA from 1 species